UACGGGGGAGCAAGCGUUGUUCGGAUUUACUGGGCGUAAAGGGCGCGUAGGCGGUCAGCACAAGUCAGUUGUGAAAUCUCCGAGCUUAACUCGGAAAGGUCAACUGAUACUGUGCGACUAGAGUGCAGAAGGGCAACUGGAAUUCUCGGUGUAGCGGUGAAUGCGUAGAUAUCGAGAGGAACACCUGCGGCGAAGGCGGGUUGCUGGGCUGACACUGACGCUGAGGCGCGAAAGCCUAGGGGAGCGAACGGG
rnacentral:rRNA from 1 species